UGUAAGGCUGUGGUUCUCUCCAGCCCACAUGACAACUGUAUGUGCCACAGUCAGCACAUGGACAUGAAGGCAGAUGGAGACCUUACAGAGAACCUCAACAUCACUUCCUGAGACUGCCUGAAGCAAAGUAAUUUGAGGAUGUCUCAAGACCAUGGGAGCCAGGAUCUCUUGAGCUCUGCAAACUGCAGGUCUCUCCCAGCACAGGUGCUUUGCAGAUUUACUCUAUGAGCUGCAAUCAGAUGCUGACAAACAUCUGCGGGGUCCAGGAAUCAUUUCCCUGAAGCUCUCACACCUGGUUUCUCCUCAGCACUCACCAGGAACCCAUACUUCAAGGAAGGAAGAUCAUGCUUUGACAAAACAGCCAAUGCAUUUUGAUCAUAGUCAUUCCAAAUGUUUUGCCCCAGGAGGAAGCCCAACAUGGAAAAUAUCAACCCAAACAGUUAAAGUCUGUGAAGAUUAAAAACAAAUGUAAAAAAAAA